UACAGAGGGUGCGAGCGUUAAUCGGAAUGACUGGGCGUAAAGGGCGCGUAGGUGGCUAAUUAAGUGAGAUGUGAAAGCCCUGGGCUUAACCUAGGAACUGCAUUUCAUACUGGUUAGCUGGAGUAAAGGAGAGGGUAGUGGAAUUUCAGGUGUAGCGGUGAAAUGCGUAGAUAUCUGAAGGAACACCAGUGGCGAAGGCGACUGCCUGGCCUUAUACUGACACUGAGGCGCGAAAGCGUGGGGAGCAAACAGGAUUAGAAA
rnacentral:rRNA from 1 species